UAUCCCUACGGGACGCAGCAGUGGGGAAUAUUGCACAAUGGGGGAAACCCUGAUGCAGCGACGCCGCGUGAGUGAGGAAGUAUUUCGGUAUGUAAAGCUCUAUCAGCAGGGAAGAAAAUGACGGUACCUGACUAAGAAGCCCCGGCUAACUACGUGCCAGCAGCCGCGGUAAUACGUAGGGGGCAAGCGUUAUCCGGAUUUACUGGGUGUAAAGGGAGCGGAGACGGAGGAGCAAGUCUGAUGUGAAAAUCCGUGGCCCAACCCCGGAACUGCAUUGGAAACUGUUUAUCUAGAGUGUAGCAGAG
rnacentral:rRNA from 1 species